GAUGAACGCUUGCGGCAGGCUUAAUACAUGCAAGUCGAACGGUAACAGGGUGUUCGGACUGCUGUCGAGUGGCGGACGGGUGAGUAACGCGUAUGCAACCUUCCUCACAACGAGAAAAAGACGACUGAAAAGUUGAAUAAAGUCUCGCGGUGUGCAUUUCUCGCAUGAUAGAUGUAUGAUAGAAGCAAUUUGGUGUGAGAUGGGCAUGCGUAUCAUUAGCUAGUUGGUAAGGUAACGCCUUACCAAGGCGACGAUGAUUAGGGGGCGGGAGAGCGUGGUCACCGGCACUGAGACUGGGACACGGCCCAGACGCGAGCGAGAGGCAGCAGUAGGGAAUAAAUGUCAGAGGGCGGGAGCCUGAAACAGCGAGGGCGCGUGAUGGAUGACGGGCUUGGGGUUGUAAACAUCUUUUCGGCAAGAGAAAUAGAGUUCACGCGUGGACAGACGACGGUAUAUCAGGAAUAAGGAACGGCUAACUCCGUG
rnacentral:rRNA from 1 species